rnacentral:rRNA from 1 species
GCUUAACACAUGCAAGUCGAGGGGCAGCAUGGUCUUAGCUUGCUAAGGCCGAUGGCGACCGGCGCACGGGUGAGUAACACGUAUCCAACCUGCCGUCUACUCUUGGACAGCCUUCUGAAAGGAAGAUUAAUACAAGAUGGCAUCAUGAGUCCGCAUGUUCACAUGAUUAAAGGUAUUCCGGUAGACGAUGGGGAUGCGUUCCAUUAGAUAGUAGGCGGGGUAACGGCCCACCUAGUCUUCGAUGGAUAGGGGUUCUGAGAGGAAGGUCCCCCACAUUGGAACUGAGACACGGUCCAAACUCCUACGGGAGGCAGCAGUGAGGAAUAUUGGUCAAUGGGCGAGAGCCUGAACCAGCCAAGUAGCGUGAAGGAUGACUGCCCUAUGGGUUGUAAACUUCUUUUAUAAAGGAAUAAAGUCGGGUAUGGAUACCCGUUUGCAUGUACUUUAUGAAUAAGGAUCGGCUAACUCCGUGCCAGCAGCCGCGGUAAUACGGAGGAUCCGAGCGUUAUCCGGAUUUAUUGGGUUUAAAGGGAGCGUAGAUGGAUGUUUAAGUCAGUUGUGAAAGUUUGCGGCUCAACCGUAAAAUUGCAGUUGAUACUGGAUAUCUUGAGUGCAGUUGAGGCAGGCGGAAUUCGUGGUGUAGCGGUGAAAUGCUUAGAUAUCACGAAGAACUCCGAUUGCGAAGGCAGCCUGCUAAGCUGCAACUGACAUUGAGGCUCGAAAGUGUGGGUAUCAAACAGGAUUAGAUACCCUGGUAGUCCACACGGUAAACGAUGAAUACUCGCUGUUUGCGAUAUACUGCAAGCGGCCAAGCGAAAGCGUUAAGUAUUCCACCUGGGGAGUACGCCGGCAACGGUGAAACUCAAAGGAAUUGACGGGGGCCCGCACAAGCGGAGGAACAUGUGGUUUAAUUCGAUGAUACGCGAGGAACCUUACCCGGGCUUAAAUUGCAGAUGAAUUACGGUGAAAGCCGUAAGCCGCAAGGCAUCUGUGAAGGUGCUGCAUGGUUGUCGUCAGCUCGUGCCGUGAGGUGUCGGCUUAAGUGCCAUAACGAGCGCAACCCUUGUUGUCAGUUACUAACAGGUUCCGCUGAGGACUCUGACAAGACUGCCAUCGUAAGAUGUGAGGAAGGUGGGGAUGACGUCAAAUCAGCACGGCCCUUACGUCCGGGGCUACACACGUGUUACAAUGGGGGGUACAGAGGGCCGCUACCACGCGAGUGGAUGCCAAUCCCCAAAACCUCUCUCAGUUCGGACUGGAGUCUGCAACCCGACUCCACGAAGCUGGAUUCGCUAGUAAUCGCGCAUCAGCCACGGCGCGGUGAAUACGUUCCCGGGCCUCGUACACACCGCCCGUCAAGCCAUGGGAGCCGGGGGUACCUGAAGUGCGUAACCGCGAGGAGCGCCCUAGGGUAAAACUGGUGACUGGGGCUAAGU